rnacentral:lncRNA from 1 species
CUGGAUGAGAUCAUUUUUCCAUCAGAGCUUGUCACUGGAGAUGACUGUAUGAUGAAAAUUUAUUGCUUUGGGGUAUUUAUCUUUUAAUCAGAUAUUCUGCUAAAUUUUCUUAUUAAUUCCACAUGUUUUGGGUUGAACCCUUUGUUAGUCUAAGUAGAUAAUUCUACAUCUGCAAGCAGUGAUAAGUUUGUCUCCUCUUUUCUUAAUUCUGAUCCGUAUAAUAUGACAUUGCGCAUAACUUCUAGGAGAAUAUUAAAUAAUAAUGGUGGUAACAGUCAUCUUUGUUUUGUUCCUGAUUUUAGUGAAGAUGACGCCACUAUUUCACGAUUCAGUAUGAUUCCUUUUGUUGAUAUGACAUGGAUAAUUUUAUCAUGUUAAGGAUACUGUUCUCCUUCCUUACUGUUUAUCAAAAAGCUUUUGAUAGUUUGAAAUCACUGUUGAAUUUUAUCAAAUCCUUUUUGCCCAAAAUGAUUUUCAAUAAUGUUUUUGUAUCUUUUCAAUUGAAAAUUCAACAUUUAACCUUUUUUUUUCCCCAAGAAAAUCAUAUUGAAAAGGUAAUAAAUGAGUGUUGGGGAGGAAGAAAAGCCCACAUGGUUGUAUUUUAAUCUUCCAUAGUGCAAGAAUGGGGGUUUUUUUUACCACAAAGUACAGUAGGCACUCAAUAAAUAAAUCCAUAAAUGAUUUCUCAUUGAGAUGAUGUCUGAUUUAACACUCCAGUUUUGCUUGAUAAGCUCAUCUAGUUGAGUGAAAUCAAAUAAAGGGAAUUUUGAAAAACAUUGCCCCAGGAUGUUUUCUAGGGCAGCAAUGAUGUUUGCAGGGCUCUGAGCAUGGGAAAAUAUAUAAGAGAUGGGAUAUAAACUUCACUGCACUAUAAACACCUAACAAAUUUUCAAGCAUAAAUACAAAAGAUAUUUCUUUUUCUUAAUAUAUGGCUGAGUAAUUGGUUGGGGUUAAUACUAGAGGAAAUGACAUAAUAGUUUAUUUUUCCAAGAAUACCUCUUAAUUUAUAAGCUCUUUGUGAUAUGCUCUUUAAUUUAAUAUAAUUGAUGUAGAGGUGCAGAAAUAUACAUAUGAAAUUUUUGAUCCAAUAAAGAAAAGAAUCUUGUUUUUCUUAACUCUGACCCCAUGAAUGACUUACUUUAGAUAAUUUGGAUGAAUUCAUAUGCCUAUAUCAAACACAUAAAUAUCAUAAAUAAAAAUGAUAUACAUAUAAUUUUCUUAUAUCAAAAAGAGGGGGAGAAUUUUUGCAUUCUUUUGGGGGAUAUUUGCAUUCUUGGUUAUUAGUGAGUGCUUAUAAGAUUAUUUUAUGGUUCUUAUAAAGAAUCUUAAAAGGCAUAAAUAAUUACGGCCUUUUCUCUGUCCAGAAUCAUUGGGCUUCCUGUUGCACACAUACAUUUUCAAAAGAAAAAUUUGUAUUUUGAAAUGAAUGAGGCGAUAAUAAAUGCUCAGAAGCCAAGAUACAGAAGAUGGCUAUCUAAGGCAGAAAGCUUGACUCACGAGAUAAAAACACGAAUCAGGGAAGACACUAGGAAUAGGGUUGUCAAGAUUCUUUUGGAUUUAACCUUAUGCUGAAAAUCUUCACGAACACACACAAAAAUAAACUGAAAGCCUAGUAUUUCUUUCUAGCAGAACGCAGAAAAACAAGCAAUGUAAUGACUAUUGCAGAAAUUUUAGAAUUUUAGACAUGUCAAAAGGCUAAACCUACAGUUCGUAGACUGUAACAGUUUCCCUCUUCAAAGCUCAGCCCUGUCACAUUUGGGUCAUUAUUAUUUGAACCAUACCAUCCAUUCCUUUUGAACAUCUUUCUUCAGGGUAAGUGUUCAAUACUGAAGCCCAGUCCAAGCCAAGGAUGCACAGAUGGGUGGUUACAGCUGCAGCUCCUCUGACAGACUGCAAAAGCCCGCUGGGACACUUCCCCCAGCUCUGUCUAUCCAUCUUGUGAGCUGGUGCAGCUCCACCUUCCGGGGCUUUGUUGAUGGUCAUUGAGCCAGGAAGAGGGAAAUGGCAUCAACUAAGAAUGUACAGACCACAAUACUGAUGGGAAAUAAUAAAUUGGCCAGUCCAAGGCCAGCGCAGAAAUUUAUAACAAUGAAAGUUCCAGGCCUAAAUCACCACAGCUCUCUUUAUGUAAAACAUGGGACAAUUAAUCUGAGGCACCUGCAAUUAUACCAGAAAGGCCCACUUAAAGAUUUCAAGAAGGAAGAGAAAGCUUCUACACUGAAUUUAUAUUUACUUAUCCACUAUCACACCUACAUUCCCAAAAUGCUUUGAGAUGGUUCACAAACAUAUAUUAAAUGCACACAUACACACACACAUGCAAAUUUAAGGCUAUAAAAGAAAAAAUAAGAAGGAAAACAGCAAGGCUUAAAGGAAAGAACUUAUGGGGGCAAAAACUAUAGGCUGGACUACUUACUAAAGUCAAGAACUAAAUUUAAUAUCUGAGUUUCUUGGGAGCAAAGGCAAAAAAGGAAAUAAGACAUUAGUCUUAUGAACAGGUGAAAGAGAGAAUACCACCUUUUGGUAGUAAAACUUUUCCUAUUGUGACUUUGGAAAACAACACAUCAGUCUUCGAGAUUCCAUUCACAAUUUUACGGUUGCCUGUCCUGCACAAUUCCUGACCUAGAUUGCCAAAGAUUAUAAAAUCAGGCUUGAUACAUAAAUUAUGCAACAGCACAACUAAUGUCUAAACUAAACAAAAAGGGAAAAACCAAAUGAACAAACGUUUCCAAACAUUUAAAAGUUAGAAACACCCAAAAUAAAAAUCAAAACCAGUGGCAGAUAAAGUCAACCCAAAUUUCAGCAAACCAGAAUCACAAAACCCUAUCGCUGCAGGCUUGGGAAUAAAAUGCUGCUUGUCAGUCAAAGUGUCUGUCUAUGGCAUAUGGGUAAAGGUUUCAGUCUGCUAUCUCCAGACUCAUCUUAUGGCACUGGUUCAACACCAGUGAAUGGUGUUUUAAACAAAAGGAGAGCUCAUUCAAAAUGGGUGUUUGUGAGUUACCGGUCAGUGUAGCUGUGCCGUUUGUCUGAGUGAAAACUAUUGGCAUGGGAGAAAUGAAGUGCAGCUCCCAGGCCUUUGGAGUCUCCUAAGCACUGAAAAGCAGCCGGGAGGUUAAAGCUGGCUGGUCGGAAUGGCAUACUUGGCUGAAUGCACAGCCAGGUGGCUUGGGCAUAUUGGCAAACAACUGGCAACCUGCCCAAUACAUAUGGCUCAGAUUGCUUUGCUCUUCCCAUGAAGCCUUCUUAGACUCUUGAGCAAGCAUUCGUUUUAGAACAAAAUGCAUCUGAGUGUUAAAUAAAAUCUUUUAAUAAUAUCUGUCUGAUGUAAAAUCCUUUUACCAAAAAUAAAAAUAAAAAGAUGGUUGGGGAGUGGUUGCCAAAUGCAUAAACUACAGCAUUUCUAUUUUGGGCAGAGGAGACUUUGCAGAUCCCUUCUCAAGCAUCUUUGGACUCAAUGCUUGGGACCUUUCAGUUUCACAGGGGUUAAAACGACCCCUGCAAUCCCUAGGAAGCAGGGUUACCAUGAAGCUUAUGGAAGGCUACCAAGAGGUCAGGAGACCACAAAUUCUUAAUGAAUACAUAAAAAUACAAAGUAGGUAGGGAAACAAUUGGAGUGAACACCAGAUACAUUUUAUCAAGGAACAUUAUUAAAUCUUGAUUGACAGAUAACACUAAAAGGUGUUAGUAUGGUCUAUCGUGUAAAUACAUAUCUGAAGACUUGUUAAAACACAGUCUCUAAGUGCUAACUAUUGUGGCACAUGUUACUUACCAGGCUCUACCAAGUGGCUGCCUAAUGUCUAUAGCAUGACACAAACUUAAGGUUUAAUAACCCCAGCUGGUCACUGAUCUCUUGUAAUGCUACCAUCAUACCACAUUUCAUAUUCCACAAAUACUAAUUUCCUGCUGGAGUUGGACUUUCUUCUAUCACACAUGCUUGCUGGGUGCCUACCAUUUCAUUUUAGUUUACAGGAUAUCUUAAAAGCAUUAACAACUCAUACAUCAGCUAAUUAGGUUAUAUGAAUUACUAUCAAGAUUUUGUUUCACUUACAAUAAUAUUUAAAUGUAGGUUUAUGAUCUCUUAAAAUUGCAAGUCAUUUAUCUAAUAAACUGUGUUAAAUCCUCUGGAAUUACUAUAGUCUACUUGGUAAGAAGAUUACAGAGUUGAUGUUGUAUUAUGUGGUUGAUUUUUUAUAGACUUUUUUUUUUUUUUAAGCCUGGUAACACCUAGAACAUUGAAAUAAAUUCACCCUAUUAAAGAGGGCUCACACAAUAAUCUAAAAUAUCUUAGUUACAAACAUAAAAAUUAUGGUAGAAAAAUUAUUUAUGCUUAUUCAGCAAAUACUGAAGAGGUCAACUAGACGAGAACAGCAAACUUUUUUGGGGGGGGGUAAUAAAAAAAUAAAAUUUCCUGCCACCGUUGCUCCAUCUCUUUUCCAUGCAAAGAGGUACUAAGUACAUAAAAAUGCAUAUGAUUGUGUCACACUGACAAUUUACUGAGUCUUAGGUUAAAACCUUCAAAUCAAUUUCCUCCUGAUGGAUUUUUUUUUCCCAAAAAAGACUGGAAGUGAUAAAAAAUUUUUUUUGACGAAUGACGCAAAUUAAAGCAGAAGUAUACAAAGAAUUCCUAUGUCAGGAAUCUUGAAAAUAAUACUUUUUAACCGUCUUGUUUCUUGGUAAGCAUAACAUAAUAAAAGAGAGCUUCAUUAACAAAUUUUUCCAGUGCACAAAAUUAUGGGGUGGAAGAAAAGGAGACUUUAAAAAUGGACCCUAGAGUCAUAUGAAAUGACCUUUGCAGCAUCACACUGUCACCACCUUUCCCCCCUCCUCUUGAUCAGCAAGUGGUACCACUUAGAGCUUUAUUAGAACAUCCCUUUGCCAACUUGGAAUAGCUCCAGGCAA